ACUCCGCUCCGGACGCGCUCUCGGGGAGGCUUGGACCGACGCGGCCCAGGGCCAGGAAGAUUCCGCGCGUGGACCAGCCGGGCCAGGGCGAUGCUGCGGGUGCGGUGUCUGCGCGGCGGGAGCCGCGGCGCCGAGGCGGUGCACUACAUCGGGUCUCGGGUGCGUGCGCCACCGGCCUCGUCUGGCGGCCGCGUGACUCACUCCGUCCUGCGGGCGGCGUGGAGCACUCGCUCGCUCCCUGCCCGGAGCCGCCGCCUUCCCUCGCUUUUCCCCAGCCGGAAUUGCACGAGAGUGUCCCUUCUGGUAUCCCGGGGAAGCUCAGCUUCAAGAGCCUUUGCAGGCUCCAGGAUCUGGGCGGCGUGCCCCAGUCAGGGGGAACUUGCGUUUCGGCCCCACCCCUUGGGGAUCCACUUGCUGCUGCGCGUCUGCGGCCUGCUGGCCCACGGCGCAGAGGGCGCCGCCCUCCUCUACCGGAGCUUGGUGCGCUGCACCAAGCUUCCCGCUCGGAGCAAGGGGUUGGGACGACGGAGGCUCCUCUUAGUAAAAGAGUGGCGUUAUUGGGGUUCAGUAGCCUGAGUGGGCGUCGAGUUGGGGAGAUUUCUGGAAAAUGCCUGUGGGGUAGAUGGAUGGGGAGAAGAGACAAGCAAAGUGGGAAUCGGGGACGGGGAGCGAGCGACCAGAUUCGCUCCAAGUAUAACAUGGGAUCCCACGUCUGGAGAGGAGUCGGGGCGAGUGCAGCCUGUAAGCAGAGUUUCUAAGCUCCCCGUCCUCGGCUGCCCUGGCAGGAGACCCUCCCAUGCUCCUAGUACUGGAAUCGCUCCGACAUUCUGGCUUCCUCCCAGCAACUGGUUCCUGAACAGCUGUCACUCUCCGUCUUUCUUCUGCCUCCACCCGAGUUCCCCUCCUGCCCACUUCCUAAGGCUUUUAACAGAGCAGGAUAGAGAUUUGGGGGAUUGAGGUUUGCUCAGGGGUUGAGGGACCCUCCCUGCUCUAGAUUUUAUAGGCCAUGCAUUUUUAAAAGGCUUUUGAAGUUUUUAGAUCUCCUUCUUAGUUUGAAUUUACGCCUGAGCUAAUCCUGAUCUUGGCUAGGGUACUGUGGACCAUCUGUAAAAUGGAGCAGAUGGCAGUUGCUCACUCUCAGAAUUGAAGUGCCAAAGAAUGCGAAGUGUAUGUCAAAGAUGAAAAAAAUUUGAUUUGAAGCUGGUUAUUCUUAAAGAUAAGGUCCUUUACAAAUGUUCCCAACUUUUCGUUUGUAAAAAAAUAAAUAAAAAGCCUAAUAUUGGUAACCUUUGAUACUUAAGGGAAAAGGAGGUUCCGUCCCCAGCUGAGACUGGCGGGAAGUUUUAGAGCAGCUGUCUAUGGUUUUCUGAGAGGAGGAUUGACCCAUCUGCGAAAGAGUUGCGUAAAGCUUGAGUGCAGGAAUUGCAUUCUGAGAUAAAGAUGGGGGUGUAUGGUCGCUGGGGACAUGGUCUUCUGAGGAGUUUUAAAGAGUUACAACAAUUAAUAGAUAAGAAGACAAUUUGUAGAUAAACAAGAGGGUUAAAAAAAUUAUCUGUAAUCCCACUACCCACCUACACACUAUUAACAUCUUGGUUUACGCUCUUCUAAAGGGGUUUAAGUGGCAAUGUUAUGCUGGAUUUUUACCCCAUCUCCACUUCCUCCUCUCUGCAAGUACUGAUAGAGCAAUGCAAUACAAUAAUCUUUUCUUUGUUCUUGGAAGCUUGGACGAACCUUGACAGGAUGGGUGCAGCGAACUUUCCAGAGCACCCAGGCAGCUACGGCUUCCUCCCGGAACUCCUCUGCAGCUGACGACAAGGCCACUGAGCCUCUGCCCAAGGACUGCCCUGUCUCUUCUUACAACGAAUGGGACCCCUUAGAGGAAGUGAUAGUGGGCAGAGCAGAAAACGCCUGUGUUCCACCGUUCACCAUCGAGGUGAAGGCCAACACAAAUGAAAAGUACUGGCCAUUUUACCAGAAGCAUGGAGGGCAUUAUUUUCCCAAAGAUCAUUUGAAAAAGGCUGUUGCUGAAAUUGAAGAAAUGUGCAAUAUUUUAAAAAUGGAAGGAGUGACAGUAAGGAGGCCUGACCCCAUUGACUGGUCAUUGAAGUAUAAAACUCCUGAUUUUGAGUCUACGGGUUUAUACAGUGCAAUGCCUCGAGACAUCCUGAUAGUUGUGGGCAAUGAGAUUAUCGAGGCUCCCAUGGCAUGGCGUUCACGCUUCUUUGAGUACCGAGCGUACAGGUCAAUUAUCAAAGACUACUUCCACCGUGGUGCCAAGUGGACAACAGCUCCUAAGCCCACAAUGGCUGAUGAGCUUUAUAACCAGGAUUAUCCCAUCCACUCUAUAGAAGACAGACACAAAUUGGCUGCUCAGGGAAAAUUUGUGACAACUGAGUUUGAGCCAUGCUUUGAUGCUGCUGACUUCAUUCGAGCUGGAAGAGAUAUUUUUGCACAGAGAAGCCAGGUUACAAACUACUUAGGCAUUGAAUGGAUGCGUAGGCAUCUUGCUCCAGACUACAGAGUUCAUAUCAUCUCCUUUAAAGAUCCCAAUCCCAUGCAUAUUGAUGCUACCUUCAACAUCAUUGGACCUGGUAUUGUGCUUUCCAACCCUGACCGACCAUGUCACCAGAUUGAUCUUUUCAAGAAAGCAGGAUGGACUAUCAUUACUCCGCCAACACCAAUCAUCCCAGAUGAUCAUCCACUCUGGAUGUCAUCCAAAUGGCUUUCCAUGAAUGUCUUAAUGCUAGAUGAAAAACGUGUUAUGGUGGAUGCCAAUGAAGUUCCAAUUCAAAAGAUGUUUGAAAAGCUGGGUAUCACUACCAUUAAAGUUAACAUUCGUAAUGCCAAUUCCCUGGGAGGAGGCUUCCACUGUUGGACCUGCGAUGUCCGGCGCCGAGGCACCCUACAGUCCUACUUGGACUGAACAGGCCUGAUGGAGCUUGUGGCUGGCCUCAGAUACACCUAAGAAGCUUAGGGGCAAGGUUCAUUCUCCUGCUUUAAAAAGUGCAUGAACUGUAGUGCUUUAAACAAUCAUAUCCUUAACAGGGGUCAUAAGCCUGGUUUGCUUCUAUUACUUUUCUUUGACAUAAAGAAAAUAACUUCUGCUAGGUAUUACUUUCUACUCCUAAAGUUAUUUACUAUUUGGCUUCAAGUAUAAAAUUUUGGUGAAUGUGUACCAAGAAAAAAUUAGUCACCUGAGUAACUUGGCCACUAAUAAUUAACCAUCUACCUCUGUUUUUAAUUUUCUUUCCAAAAGGCAGCUUGAAAUGUUGGUCCUAAUCUUAAUUUUUUUUCCUCUUCUAUAGACUUGAGAAUGUUUUUCUCUAAAUGAGAGAAAGACUUAGAAUGUACACAGAUCCUAAAUAGAAUCAGAUAAUCUCUUUUUUUCUAAAGAAGAGAAAGACUUAAACAUACACAGAUCCUAAGUAGAACCAGGUAAUUGUCUCUUUUUCUAAUAAGGAAUUUGGGUAAUUUUUAAUUUUUUGUUUUUUAAAAAAUAACCUAGACUAUGCAAAACAUCAAAGUGAAUUUUCCAUGAAUGUUUUUAAUAUUCUCAUCUCAACAUUGUGAUAUAUGCUACUAAAAACCUUUUCAUAUACAUCUUACUUCAUUUCAAGUGAAUUAUUUUAAUCUUUUCCUCUCUUUCCAAAAAUUUACAGGAAUGUUUAGUGUAAUUGGAUUUCGCUAUCAGUUCCCAUCCUUAAGUUUUGAUAUUCAGUAUCUGAUAGAUACACUGCAUCUUUGGUCAUCUAAGAUUUGUUUACAAAUGUGCAAAUUAUUUAGAGCAUAGACUUUAUAAGCAUUAAAAAAAACUAAUGGAGGUAAAACCUAAAUGCGAUGUGAAAUAAUUUUAGUGUUGAUACUGUAUGUGUAUUUUUAUUCUAAUAAACUUUUGUGUUCCAGAUUG
rnacentral:sRNA from 1 species